GGGCAGUCGGGAGGCUGGCAGCUGCCCUCUUCAACAAAAUCACUGAUGCUGGAGUUGCGUGUGUCAUCACUCAGCACCAGGAUAUUGUUGGGGAGGACGGCCCGUGCGCUGUCCAGGGCUGGCG
rnacentral:precursor_RNA from 8 species